UCGCAGUUCCCCCAUUCAUGCUGUGACGUGUAAAGUAUAUAUUAUUUUUCAACAUAAAGUGGGGAAGAACAUAAAAAAUAUAUCGCGAGAUUAAAGCAGAAUCGUGGAUCAAGUCGGUGAAGGUACGGAAGAUUAUUUAGAUAGAUAAAAUGAUGCAAGAUGAGGAUCUGGGUGGAACCACUAGAAGAAACACAUUUGUACAGGCUCUGACGAGAUUAUCUCAGAUAUAUCAGAGUUACCUGGAUCUGUGGACGCCGUACACCAUCUCCAGAUGGCUGUUUGCGAUAAGCCUAGUAGUUAUAUUCGUACUUCGUAUACUAUUAACACAGGGCUGGUACAUCGUUAUUUAUGCUCUGGGAAUUUAUCACCUAAAUUUAUUCAUAGCAUUCCUUACACCAAGAAUCGAUCCUGCGAUGGCUUUCGAUGACGCAGAUGGUCCCGAAUUGCCAACAAGGUCGAAUGAGGAAUUCAAACCUUUCAUAAGGCGAUUGCCAGAGUUCAAAUUCUGGUAUUCAGUGAGCAAAUCAACGAUAAUCGCUCUCAUUUGUACGCUUUUCGAAUGCUUCAAUAUUCCUGUUUUUUGGCCAAUUCUCGUUAUGUACUUUAUAACGUUAUUCUGCAUCACGAUGAAGCGGCAAAUCAAGCACAUGAUAAAAUACCGGUACCUGCCCUUCACGCAUGGGAAACCAAGGUACCAGAACCACGACGAGGGCUCGCGACCGCUGGCUCAUUAAUCGAAUCACAAAAAGAAACAACAAUAAGUAAUUGAUUGAAUAAAAAGAUAAAUAAUCAUUGGAUCAACAGAAAUGAGAGGAGCAUCUUUAGAAGAGUCAAAAAAUGGACGAGAAGAGCCAGUUUGAGAAGGAAAGAAGAUAACGAGGAAAAAUAAGAAAAAGAGAGUGAGGGAGAGAAGACAAAGUGAAAGACUAUGGAAUGGAAUGAAACAAAAAAGUCAUCCCUGGGCUCCGAAAGCUGUGUAAGAAAUUUUCUUUAAUUCCUUCUCUUCCUCAGCCUUAAUUUACACUUGUAUCAUUUUUCUCUUGACAUUCGAAAUCUCUCACUUCCUGCAACGAACGAGAGAGACAUUGACAAAGAAAUGAUAAGAAGAACCAAAAUAAUAAAUGAUGAAUAAAACACUGGACCGAUUACGAUCGAUGAUGAAGCGUUUAAUAUAAAUAGUUGUGUAACGUUACGACUUUCGUUAGAUAACAAAAAACCUCUCUUAAUAUAUUUGUAUCAUAAAUCUUGUACAAAGUAUUGUUAGGUCUUGCAUAAAACAACAACAAACAAAAUAAUGAAUAUUAAAGGAACAGGAUUUAAGGACGGAACAAUGCAAAUGAGAUAAAUAAAUAUCAGACCUAUGCGAGUACCAGAAA
rnacentral:misc_RNA from 1 species